ACGACCGUACCGCAAACCGACACUGGUGCGCGAGAUGAGUAUUCUAAGGCGCUUGAGAGAACUCAGGAGAAGGAACUCGGCAAAUUGACACCGUAACUUCGGAAGAAGGUGUGCCUUUAGUAGGUGAAGGGAUUUACUCCCGGAGCCCAAUGAGGUUGCAAAAAAUCGGUGGCUGCGACUGUUUAAUAAAAACACAGCACUCUGCAAACACGAAAGUGGACGUAUAGGGUGUGACGCCUGCCCGGUGCUGGAAGAUUAAAUGAUGGGGUGCAAGCUCUUGAUUGAAGUCCCAGUAAACGGCGGCCGUAACUAUAACGGUCCUAAGGUAGCGAAAUUCCUUGUCGGGUAAGUUCCGACCUGCACGAAUGGCGUAACGAUGGCCACACUGUCUCCUCCUGAGACUCAGCGAAGUUGAAAUGUUUGUGAUGAUGCAAUCUCCCCGCGGAAAGACGGAAAGACCCCAUGAACCUUUACUGUAGCUUUGUAUUGGACUUUGAACAGAUCUGUGUAGGAUAGGUGGGAGGCUUUGAAGCAGGGUCGCUAGAUCUUGUGGAGCCAACGUUGAAAUACCACCCUGGUGUGUUUGAGGUUCUAACCUAGGCCCGUAAUCCGGGUCGGGGACAGUGCAUGGUAGGCAGUUUGACUGGGGCGGUCUCCUCCCAAAGCGUAACGGAGGAGUUCGAAGGUACGCUAGGUACGGUCGGACAUCGUGCUAAUAGUGCAAUGGCAUAAGCGUGCUUAACUGCGAGACUGACAAGUCGAGCAGAUGCGAAAGCAGGACAUAGUGAUCCGGUGGUUCUGUAUGGAAGGGCCAUCGCUCAACGGAUAAAAGGUACUCUGGGGAUAACAGGCUGAUACCGCCCAAGAGUUCAUAUCGACGGCGGUGUUUGGCACCUCGAUGUCGGCUCAUCUCAUCCUGGGGCUGUAGCCGGUCCCAAGGGUAUGGCUGUUCGCCAUUUAAAGAGGUACGUGAGCUGGGUUUAAAACGUCGUGAGACAGUUUGGUCCCUAUCUUCCGUGGGCGCUGCAGAUUUGAGGAAGCCUGCUCCUAGUACGAGAGGACCGGAGUGGACGCACCGCUGGUGUAUCGGUUGUCAUGCCAAUGGCAUUGCCGAGUAGCUAUGUGCGGAAGAGAUAACCGCUGAAAGCAUCUAAGCGGGAAACUCGUUUCAAGAUGAGAUCUGCCGGGGCCUUGAGCCCCCUGAAGAGUCGUUCAAUACCAGGACGUUGAUAGGUCGGGUGUGGAAGCGCAGUAAUGCGUUAAGCUAACCGAUACUAAUUGCUCGUGCGGCUUGACC
rnacentral:rRNA from 1 species